GGCUCCGUGCCCCAAAGUAGGGGCCUUCUAGAACUCCAUCAGCAACCCAUGAGGGGCAAGGUCCUUCGCUGACUGCCCCACCAGGGAAGGCUCUGGGGCAAUCAGGGCGUUUGCUCUAAACCGAUUUCAUGGCCAGGUCCCUUCAGUCUGGGCGCCGGGUGCCUUCCUCUCCCUUCUCCAGCUGCGCCCGGAGAAGGGGGACACAAGCUCCCUCGGACUCCCUAGUUGCCGGCAGAUCAGUAGCCAGACCACUCCCCAGGUCCUGCGUGUGCCGAAGACAGAUUGGCUCAUCCUGAGAAACCGCAACACCCCGCCCUGCCGGGGAAGCCCUUCCCAAAGGACCCCCACCAGCCUCCCUUCACUGCUACUUGCACACAGCCCAUUCACCAGCUGGACACAAAGCUCUGUGCCCCGGCCCUGGGUCCCUGGCCAGCUUACCUUCUCACUGUCGUCUGACAGAGAGAGGCUGUCGACGCUGAGGCACGAGAGAAUCUGCUCCUGCUCCUCCAGUGAAAAGGGCUGGGACAGGCUGUUCAGAAAUAAUUCUGCAGAGGAAGGCAGAAUGUGGCUGUGAAGUCCGGGAGUGGCCCGGCCCGGCCGCGUGUCUGGCUGCACGGACCGCAGGAGCUGACCCCGGGGGAAGGAGCUAGAAGAGAGCCCCAGACUGGCUGCACAGCGGAUGACAGGGGACCCAGAGGCCACAGCCGGGGCCGCCCAUACCUAGUUCUAGCUGCUGCAGCUCCUGCUCGGGGAACGUCGCCUUCCGCUCCGCAGAGCUGGGGGUUUUGGCAGGGGCCGGCUCCAGGGAGGACAGAGGUAAUGGCUCCCAUGUUCCGGACUCCUCCUUGCACCAGUUCAGGCUUGGAGACUUGUUCCGCUCUGGGGGUUCUGGGGGCAGAGGAGGCUGGAGCUUAGGGGCCCCGCCUGUCGUGUCCUCGGUUGGCUGGGGUCCCGGAGCCCCAGGCGAGAGCUCCCUCGGCUGGGCCUGCGGGGUCCGUUGAGAGUGGCCUUGGCUGGGUGGCGGAUGGCCUUGGUGUGGUGGCGGACGUCUUGGCUCUUUAUACUCCCCCCUCCAAGGGCUCCGCAGACCUCCCACUGCAAAACAGAGCACACACAGUGAGGUGGAAGGAGGCCCGGCCAGGUGGCCCUGCCCAACCAGAGGGCUGGAGACAAGCAGUGGAGGGGCGGGUCGUGCCCCACUAAGGGACACUGUAGUCUUGGAGGCGGCCUCUUCCAUAAGACAGCCUCCCACAACCGGAACAGGACAGUAUUUCUGUCUUUUAUUCCAUUUUCCUUCUAGGUAACAAUCGCAAAUUUAAAAAUGACAGGGUUAGCUCCAGAGAAGGACUUUGUACAUAGAAAAGAUUUAAAAACAGACCUGAGUUAACACCAACUUCAAGUUCCCACGUAAACCGGCCUCCUUGACCACCUCCUCCCUCCCCUGCCCCCAUCUCUCCAACCCAUCCCUCCCCACACUCCGUGCUUUCUCUGGAGUGCAGGGGAGCAGUUCAUCUAUGUUUUGGGGGGUAUGCAGGGUCUGUCUCCCGUUUUAUUUAUUCCCCUUUCAUUCCCAUAACCACUGCCUCUCCCCUACCCACUCUCCUGGGGACAUUCUAUUCUAUAUGCCGUGUGACUUUGGGUUGAUUGUGUUUUUGCAAACUGUGGGUUGUUCUUAUUUCUCAAUAUUUAGUUUACAAAAAAGACAUUGUGCUCUAG